AUUGAACGCUGGCGGCAUGCUUUACACAUGCAAGUCGAACGGCAGCGGGGGAGCUUGCUCCUGCCGGCGAGUGGCGAACGGGUGAGUAACACAUCGGAACGUGUCCUGUUGUGGGGGAUAACUGGCCGAAAGGUCAGCUAAUACCGCAUGAGACCUGAGGGUGAAAGAGGGGGAUCGCAAGACCUCUCGCGACAGGAGCGGCCGAUGUCUGAUUAGCUAGUUGGCGGGGCAAAGGCCCACCAAGGCGACGAUCAGUAGCUGGUCUGAGAGGACGACCAGCCACAUUGGGACUGAGACACGGCCCAGACUCC
rnacentral:rRNA from 1 species